CCAUAUCACAUCAUUGGAUCAAUGAAGUUAAGCAAUGCUGAGCCUGGUCAGUACCUAGAUGGGUGACCACAUUGGAAUACCAGGUGUUGUAAG